rnacentral:rRNA from 1 species
UGCAAGUCGAACGGCAGCGGGGACUUCGGUCCGCCGGCGAGUGGCGAACGGGUGAGUAACGUAUCGGAACGUACCUUUCAGUGGGGGAUAACGUAGCGAAAGUUACGCUAAUACCGCAUAUUCUGUGAGCAGGAAAGCAGGGGAUCGCAAGACCUUGCGCUGAUUGAGCGGCCGAUAUCAGAUUAGCUAGUUGGUGAGGUAAAGGCUCACCAAGGCGACGAUCUGUAGCGGGUCUGAGAGGAUGAUCCGCCACACUGGAACUGAGACACGGUCCAGACUCCUACGGGAGGCAGCAGUGGGGAAUUUUGGACAAUGGGGGCAACCCUGAUCCAGCCAUGCCGCGUGAGUGAAGAAGGCCUUCGGGUUGUAAAGCUCUUUCGGCCGGGAAGAAAUCGUAUGGGUUAAUACCCUGUGCGGGUGACGGUACCGGCAUAAGAAGCACCGGCUAACUACGUGCCAGCAGCCGCGGUAAUACGUAGGGUGCGAGCGUUAAUCGGAAUUACUGGGCGUAAAGCGUGCGCAGGCGGUUUUGUAAGACAGGCGUGAAAUCCCCGGGCUCAACCUGGGAACUGCGCUUGUGACUGCAAGGCUAGAGUAUGGCAGAGGGGGGUGGAAUUCCACGUGUAGCAGUGAAAUGCGUAGAGAUGUGGAGGAACACCAAUGGCGAAAGCAGCCCCCUGGGCCAAUACUGACGCUCAUG